AGGUAGAAAAGAAAGGCAAUGAGAAGGAUGGAAGAAACUGUUACAUGGGCAUGACUCGGACAUACAGUAUGACUUCGAAGAGCAAGGACCUGAGCCCUAGGACCAUGCCCCAGGACUACCUGACAUGAUGACUCCUUGCUGUCCCCAGUCCACCUGGCCGUGCUGCUGCUCCAGUUUCAACUGUUCUGCCUUAUUAUUAUUCGACCAUGCUGGUCAUUUAUGAACAUUUGAACAUCUUGGCCAUGUUCUGUUAUAAUCUCCACCCGGCACAGCCAGAAGAGGACUGGUCACCCCACAUAGCCUGGUUCCUCUCUAGGUUUCUUCCUAGGUUUUGGCCUUUCUAGGGAGUUUUUCCUAGCCACCGUGCUUCUACACCUGCAUUGCUUGCUAUUUGGAUUUUUAGGCUGGGUUUCUGUACAGCACUUUGAGAUAUCAGCUGAUGUACGAAGGGCUAUAUAAAUACAUUUGAUUUGAUUUGAUUUAAGUUCUGACCUCUGAUAGAUGUUGCAGAGGUAGGUUUUGUAUGCUUCCUGAAGUCUAUGGAAAUCUCUUUGGUCUUAUUGGUAUUGAGUGUGAUUCGUCACACCACUCUACAAAGUCAUUUAGGACCGGGCCAUGGUGUUCCUCGUCAUCAUGCAACAGGCUGAUCAAGGCAGUGUCAUCAGCGAACUUAACGAGGUGUCUGUCAGGAUGGUUUUUAACAAAUACAUUAGCAUGAUCUCAAGUAUAAGGUUACAUGACUUCCAUCAAAAGGUGACUGAUUCACAGAUGAUCACAUUCUUUUGUGAUAAGUCAUAAUCAGCUAUUUAGAUGGCAUACAUUGAUCUCUAAGCUCGAAUUCUCCCUGAAAAUAUGUAACGUACAAAAUAUCCCAGAUAAUAAUUUUUUUUCAACCUGUCAUUACAUUACUGCUGACCAUAUUUACUCAGUAAAUUUGCGGUUGACCGUGUUGUGUUCAGCCAGGAAUUCCCUGGAGCUUUUUACACACUUCCGACUUUCUGCUCUGCUCCAUAUGUUUUCACUACAUUUCCUACCUCCCCGUGUUUCCUAUCCAGCUGUUGGCUAAUCUUG
ensembl:lncRNA